UCGAUCUAUCUUUCUCCUUCUCUUCUGUCUCUUCAUCACCAUAUUACCUAACUCAGACUUUAAAACUCUUAGAGCGAGGACGAAGCAGUAGGGACGUAUUUGAAAGCCCACAGAACACCGAGGAUAACGCUGCGGUGAUUCUUCCUCAUUCUUCUUCCAACACCCUCCAUCAUCACCUCCGCCUUAUCACCAACGUCAGUCAUAUUCGUCACCUCAGUCUCAAAUCCUGACAGGGAGGCACGACUCGUGUAUUUGUUUAAAACCCCUUGCGUUUUUCUUCAAAUAACUACCACAUUCGUUUGGAAUUAACAAGAAAGGCGUAAAGAACGUUAGCAGAGCAGAGAGAAGCAACUUGGCUCCGAUCCAUUCCACACCAAAAAACGCUGGAGUCGCUUUGACUCGGUGGAUGUGUUCGACACUCGAUCUGAGCGAGCCUUUCAACCGCCUUAUGUCUUCUGGGGGGGAUUUCACUGGAGACACCAGCUGCGCUUCAGACGUCUUUAAGGGUCCAUCAGGAGAGGACAAAAGGAAAUAAACAUUGUGAGACA